rnacentral:rRNA from 2 species
AAGUGCGGGUGCUAUAAUGCAAGUCGAGCGGACAGAUGGGAGCUUGCUCCCUGAUGUUAGCGGCGGACGGGUGAGUAACACGUGGGUAACCUGCCUGUAAGACUGGGAUAACUCCGGGAAACCGGGGCUAAUACCGGAUGGUUGUUUGAACCGCAUGGUUCAAACAUAAAAGGUGGCUUCGGCUACCACUUACAGAUGGACCCGCGGCGCAUUAGCUAGUUGGUGAGGUAACGGCUCACCAAGGCAACGAUGCGUAGCCGACCUGAGAGGGUGAUCGGCCACACUGGGACUGAGACACGGCCCAGACUCCUACGGGAGGCAGCAGUAGGGAAUCUUCCGCAAUGGACGAAAGUCUGACGGAGCAACGCCGCGUGAGUGAUGAAGGUUUUCGGAUCGUAAAGCUCUGUUGUUAGGGAAGAACAAGUACCGUUCGAAUAGGGCGGUACCUUGACGGUACCUAACCAGAAAGCCACGGCUAACUACGUGCCAGCAGCCGCGGUAAUACGUAGGUGGCAAGCGUUGUCCGGGAAUUAUUGGGCGUAAAGGGCUCGCAGGCGGUUUCUUAAGUCUGAUGUGAAAGCCCCCGGCUCAACCGGGGAGGGUCAUUGGAAACUGGGGAACUUGAGUGCAGAAGAGGAGAGUGGAAUUCCACGUGUAGCGGUGAAAUGCGUAGAGAUGUGGAGGAACACCAGUGGCGAAGGCGACUCUCUGGUCUGUAACUGACGCUGAGGAGCGAAAGCGUGGGGAGCGAACAGGAUUAGAUACCCUGGUAGUCCACGCCGUAAACGAUGAGUGCUAAGUGUUAGGGGGUUUCCGCCCCUUAGUGCUGCAGCUAACGCAUUAAGCACUCCGCCUGGGGAGUACGGUCGCAAGACUGAAACUCAAAGGAAUUGACGGGGGCCCGCACAAGCGGUGGAGCAUGUGGUUUAAUUUCGAAGCAACGCGAAGAACCUUACCAGGUCUUGACAUCCUCUGACAAUCCUAGAGAUAGGACGUCCCCUUCGGGGGCAGAGUGACAGGUGGUGCAUGGUUGUCGUCAGCUCGUGUCGUGAGAUGUUGGGUUAAGUCCCGCAACGAGCGCAACCCUUGAUCUUAGUUGCCAGCAUUCAGUUGGGCACUCUAAGGUGACUGCCGGUGACAAACCGGAGGAAGGUGGGGAUGACGUCAAAUCAUCAUGCCCCUUAUGACCUGGGCUACACACGUGCUACAAUGGACAGAACAAAGGGCAGCGAAACCGCGAGGUUAAGCCAAUCCCACAAAUCUGUUCUCAGUUCGGAUCGCAGUCUGCAACUCGACUGCGUGAAGCUGGAAUCGCUAGUAAUCGCGGAUCAGCAUGCCGCGGUGAAUACGUUCCCGGGCCUUGUACACACCGCCCGUCACACCACGAGAGUUUGUAACACCCGAAGUCGG